UCUAAUAUGGCAGAAUUAGUGCGAUGAAUUUAAGAUUCAUAUAUAAAAUAUUAUUUUUAUUAGAA
rnacentral:tRNA from 1 species